GGGUUGUGAGGUUAAGCGACUAAGCGUACACGGUGGAUGCCCUGGCAGUCAGAGGCGAUGAAGGACGUGCUAAUCUGCGAUAAGCGUCGGUAAGGUGAUAUGAACCGUUAUAACCGGCGAUUUCCGAAUGGGGAAACCCAGUGUGUUUCGACACACUAUCAUUAACUGAAUCCAUAGGUUAAUGAGGCGAACCGGGGGAACUGAAACAUCUAAGUACCCCGAGGAAAAGAAAUCAACCGAGAUUCCCCCAGUAGCGGCGAGCGAACGGGGAGCAGCCCAGAGCCUGAAUCAGUGUGUGUGUUAGUGGAAGCGUCUGGAAAGGCGCGCGAUACAGGGUGACAGCCCCGUACACAAAAAUGCACAUGCUGUGAGCUCGAUGAGUAGGGCGGGACACGUGGUAUCCUGUCUGAAUAUGGGGGGACCAUCCUCCAAGGCUAAAUACUCCUGACUGACCGAUAGUGAACCAGUACCGUGAGGGAAAGGCGAAAAGAACCCCGGCGAGGGGAGUGAAAAAGAACCUGAAACCGUGUACGUACAAGCAGUGGGAGCACGCUUAGGCGUGUGACUGCGUACCUUUUGUAUAAUGGGUCAGCGACUUAUAUUCUGUAGCAAGGUUAACCGAAUAGGGGAGCCGAAGGGAAACCGAGUCUUAACUGGGCGUUAAGUUGCAGGGUAUAGACCCGAAACCCGGUGAUCUAGCCAUGGGCAGGUUGAAGGUUGGGUAACACUAACUGGAGGACCGAACCGACUAAUGUUGAAAAAUUAGCGGAUGACUUGUGGCUGGGGGUGAAAGGCCAAUCAAACCGGGAGAUAGCUGGUUCUCCCCGAAAGCUAUUUAGGUAGCGCCUCGUGAAUUCAUCUCCGGGGGUAGAGCACUGUUUCGGCAAGGGGGUCAUCCCGACUUACCAACCCGAUGCAAACUGCGAAUACCGGAGAAUGUUAUCACGGGAGACACACGGCGGGUGCUAACGUCCGUCGUGAAGAGGGAAACAACCCAGACCGCCAGCUAAGGUCCCAAAGUCAUGGUUAAGUGGGAAACGAUGUGGGAAGGCCCAGACAGCCAGGAUGUUGGCUUAGAAGCAGCCAUCAUUUAAAGAAAGCGUAAUAGCUCACUGGUCGAGUCGGCCUGCGCGGAAGAUGUAACGGGGCUAAACCAUGCACCGAAGCUGCGGCAGCGACGCUGAUGCGUUGUUGGGUAGGGGAGCGUUCUGUAAGCCUGUGAAGGUGUGCUGUGAGGCAUGCUGGAGGUAUCAGAAGUGCGAAUGCUGACAUAAGUAACGAUAAAGCGGGUGAAAAGCCCGCUCGCCGGAAGACCAAGGGUUCCUGUCCAACGUUAAUCGGGGCAGGGUGAGUCGACCCCUAAGGCGAGGCCGAAAGGCGUAGUCGAUGGGAAACAGGUUAAUAUUCCUGUACUUGGUGUUACUGCGAAGGGGGGACGGAGAAGGCUAUGUUGGCCGGGCGACGGUUGUCCCGGUUUAAGCGUGUAGGCUGGUUUUCCAGGCAAAUCCGGAAAAUCAAGGCUGAGGCGUGAUGACGAGGCACUACGGUGCUGAAGCAACAAAUGCCCUGCUUCCAGGAAAAGCCUCUAAGCAUCAGGUAACAUCAAAUCGUACCCCAAACCGACACAGGUGGUCAGGUAGAGAAUACCAAGGCGCUUGAGAGAACUCGGGUGAAGGAACUAGGCAAAAUGGUGCCGUAACUUCGGGAGAAGGCACGCUGAUAUGUAGGUGAAGUCCCUCGCGGAUGGAGCUGAAAUCAGUCGAAGAUACCAGCUGGCUGCAACUGUUUAUUAAAAACACAGCACUGUGCAAACACGAAAGUGGACGUAUACGGUGUGACGCCUGCCCGGUGCCGGAAGGUUAAUUGAUGGGGUCAGCGCAAGCGAAGCUCUUGAUCGAAGCCCCGGUAAACGGCGGCCGUAACUAUAACGGUCCUAAGGUAGCGAAAUUCCUUGUCGGGUAAGUUCCGACCUGCACGAAUGGCGUAAUGAUGGCCAGGCUGUCUCCACCCGAGACUCAGUGAAAUUGAACUCGCUGUGAAGAUGCAGUGUACCCGCGGCAAGACGGAAAGACCCCGUGAACCUUUACUAUAGCUUGACACUGAACAUUGAGCCUUGAUGUGUAGGAUAGGUGGGAGGCUUGGAAGUGUGGACGCCAGUCUGCAUGGAGCCGACCUUGAAAUACCACCCUUUAAUGUUUGAUGUUCUAACGUUGACCCGUAAUCCGGGUUGCGGACAGUGUCUGGUGGGUAGUUUGACUGGGGCGGUCUCCUCCUAAAGAGUAACGGAGGAGCACGAAGGUUGGCUAAUCCUGGUCGGACAUCAGGAGGUUAGUGCAAUGGCAUAAGCCAGCUUGACUGCGAGCGUGACGGCGCGAGCAGGUGCGAAAGCAGGUCAUAGUGAUCCGGUGGUUCUGAAUGGAAGGGCCAUCGCUCAACGGAUAAAAGGUACUCCGGGGAUAACAGGCUGAUACCGCCCAAGAGUUCAUAUCGACGGCGGUGUUUGGCACCUCGAUGUCGGCUCAUCACAUCCUGGGGCUGAAGUAGGUCCCAAGGGUAUGGCUGUUCGCCAUUUAAAGUGGUACGCGAGCUGGGUUUAGAACGUCGUGAGACAGUUCGGUCCCUAUCUGCCGUGGGCGCUGGAGAACUGAGGGGGGCUGCUCCUAGUACGAGAGGACCGGAGUGGACGCAUCACUGGUGUUCGGGUUGUCAUGCCAAUGGCACUGCCCGGUAGCUAAAUGCGGAAGAGAUAAGUGCUGAAAGCAUCUAAGCACGAAACUUGCCCCGAGAUGAGUUCUCCCUGACUCCUUGAGAGUCCUGAAGGAACGUUGAAGACGACGACGUUGAUAGGCCGGGUGUGUAAGCGCAGCGAUGCGUUGAGCUAACCGGUACUAAUGAACCGUGAGGCUUAACCUUACAACGCCGAAG
rnacentral:rRNA from 1 species